CCUACGGGUGGCAGCAGUGAGGAAUAUUGGUCAAUGGGCGUAAGCCUGAACCAGCCAAGUCGCGUGAGGGAUGAAGGUUCUAUGGAUCGUAAACAUCUUUUAUAAGGGAAUAAAGUGUGGGACGUGUCCUAUUUUGUAUGUACCUUAUGAAUACGGAUCGGCUAACUCCGUGCCAGCAGCAGCGGUAAUACGGAGGAUCCGAGCGUUAUCCGAAUUUAUUGGGUGUAAAGGGUGCGUAGGCGGCCUUUUAAGUCAGCGGUGAAAGUCUGUGGCUCAACCAUAGAAUUGCCGUUGAAACUGGGGGGCUUGAGUAUGUUAGAGGCAGGCGGAAUGCGUGGUGUAGCGGUGAAAUGCGUAGAGAUCACGCAGAACCCCGAUGGCGAAGGCAGCCUGCCAAGCCAUGACUGACGCUGAUGCACGAAAGCGUGGGGAUCAAACAGGAUUAGAUACCCUUGUAGUC
rnacentral:rRNA from 1 species